AGAGUUUGAUCCUGGCUCAGGAUGAACGCUGGCGGCGUGCCUAACACAUGCAAGUCGAGCGAGAAGUAAAGAAAUGAAGCUUCGGUAGAUUUUCAUUAUGGAAAGCGGCGGACGGGUGAGUAACGCGUAGGCAACCUGCCCUGUACAGGGGGAUAGCCACCCGAAAAGGUGAUUAAUACCCCAUGAUGCAAGAGAUACACAUGUAUCACUUGUCAAAGAUUUAUCGGUAUGGGAUGGGCCUGCGUCUGAUUAGCUAGUUGGUAGGGUAACGGCUUACCAAGGCAACGAUCAGUAGCCGACCUGAGAGGGUGAUCGGCCACAUUGGAACUGAGACACGGUCCAAACUCCUACGGGAGGCAGCAGUGGGGAAUAUUGCACAAUGGGGGAAACCCUGAUGCAGCAACGCCGCGUGAAGGAAGAAGGCCUUCGGGUUGUAAACUUCUGUCCUAGGGGAAGAAACAAAUGACAUUACCCUUGGAGGAAGCCCCGGCUAACUACGUGCCAGCAGCCGCGGUAAUACGUAGGGGGCGAGCGUUAUCCGGAAUUAUUGGGCGUAAAGAGUGCGUAGGUGGCAUCUUAAGCGCAGGGUUUAAGGCAAUGGCUCAACCAUUGUUCGCCUUGCGAACUGGGGUGCUUGAGUGCAGGAGGGGAAAGUGGAAUUCCUAGUGUAGCGGUGAAAUGCGUAGAUAUUAGGAGGAACACCAGUGGCGAAGGCGACUUUCUGGACUGUUACUGACACUGAGGCACGAAAGCGUGGGGAGCAAACAGGAUUAGAUACCCUGGUAGUCCACGCCGUAAAC
rnacentral:rRNA from 1 species